UGCAAGUCGAACGGUAGCAUGACUAGCUUGCUAGUUGAUGACGAGUGGCGAACGGGUGAGUAACGCGUAGGAAUAUACCUUUUUGUGGGGGAUAACUCGAGGAAACUCGAGCUAAUACCGCAUGUGCUCUUCGGAGUAAAGCCGGGGACCUUCGGGCCUGGUGCAAAAAGAUUAGCCUGCGUCCGAUUGGCUAGUUGGUAGGGUAAAGGCCUACCAAGGCGACGAUCGGUAGCUGGUCUGAGAGGAUGAUCAGCCACACUGGGACUGAGACACGGCCCAGACUCCUACGGGAGGCAGCAGUGGGGAAUAUUGGACAAUGGGCGCAAGCCUGAUCCAGCAAUGCCGCGUGUGUGAAGAAGGCCUGAGGGUUGUAAAGCACUUUCAGUGGGGAGGAAGGCUCAUGCUUUAAUAGAGUAUGAGAUUGACGUUACCUACAGAAGAAGCACCGGCUAACUCCGUGCCAGCAGCCGCGGUAAUACGGGGGGUGCAAGCGUUAAUCGGAAUUACUGGGCGUAAAGCGUGCGUAGGUGGUUUUGCAAGUUGGCUGUGAAAGCCCCGGGCUCAACCUGGGAUGGUCAGUCAAAACUGCAAGACUAGAGUACAAUA
rnacentral:rRNA from 1 species